UCACUCUUGUUUCUUUUCAGGUUGUAUAAAUCUUUCCCCUUUUACUAAGGAUUUUUGUGGGGAGGAGCAACAAGAGUCUAUCUCAAUUAUUUGAUGCUCUGUGAAAGCAGAGCU